CCUACGGGAGGCAGCAGUGGGGAAUUUUGGACAAUGGACGCAAGUCUGAUCCAGCCAUGCCGCGUGCGGGAAGAAGGCCUUCGGGUUGUAAACCGCUUUUGUCAGGGAAGAAACGGGUUUCUCUAAUACAGAGACCUAAUGACGGUACCUGAAGAAUAAGCACCGGCUAACUACGUGCCAGCAGCCGCGGUAAUACGUAGGGUGCAAGCGUUAAUCGGAAUUACUGGGCGUAAAGCGUGCGCAGGCGGUUAUGCAAGACAGAGGUGAAAUCCCCGGGCUCAACCUGGGAACUGCCUUUGUGACUGCAUAGCUAGAGUACGGUAGAGGGGGAUGGAAUUCCGCGUGUAGCAGUGAAAUGCGUAGAUAUGCGGAGGAACACCGAUGGCGAAGGCAAUCCCCUGGACCUGUACUGACGCUCAUGCACGAAAGCGUGGGGAGCAAACAGGAUUAGAUACCCUGGUAGUCCACGCCCUAAACGAUGUCAACUGGUUGUUGGGAGGGUUUCUUCUCAGUAACGAAGCUAACGCGUGAAGUUGACCGCCUGGGGAGUACGGCCGCAAGGUUGAAACUCAAAUGAAAUUGAGG
rnacentral:rRNA from 1 species